AUUGAACGCUGGCGGCAUACUUAACACAUGCAAGUCGAACGGCAGCAUGUUCUAACUUCGGUUGGAAUGAUGGCGAGUGGCGGACGGGUGAGUAACGCGUAGGAAUCUACCUAGGAGUGGGGGAUAACUCGAGGAAACUCGAGCUAAUACCGCAUACCCUCUAAGGAGAAAAGCUGGAGACCUUCGGGCCUGGCGCCUUUAGAUGAGCCUGCGUCAGAUUAGCUUGUUGGUAGGGUAAAGGCCUACCAAGGCAACGAUCUGUAGCUGAUUUGAGAGGAUGAUCAGCCACACUGGGACUGAGACACGGCCCAGACUCCUACGGGAGGCAGCAGUGGGGAAUUUUGGACAAUGGGCGAAAGCCUGAUCCAGCAAUGCCGCGUGUGCGAUGACGGCCUUCGGGUUGUAAAGCACUUUCAGUUGUGAAGAAAUGUGCACGGUUAAUACCCGUGUAAGCUGACGUUAACAACAAAAGAAGCACCGGCUAACUCUGUGCCAGCCGCCGCCGUAAUAC
rnacentral:rRNA from 1 species